rnacentral:rRNA from 1 species
CAGUCGCCGCGGGAAUACGUAGGUGGCAAGCGUUGUCCGGAAUUAUUGGGCGUAAAGGGCUCGCAGGCGGUUUCUUAAGUCUGAUGUGAAAGCCCCCGGCUCAACCGGGGAGGGUCAUUGGAAACUGGGAAACUUGAGUGCAGAAGAGGAGAGUGGAAUUCCACGUGUAGCGGUGAAAUGCGUAGAGAUGUGGAGGAACACCAGUGGCGAAGGCGACUCUCUGGUCUGUAACUGACGCUGAGGAGCGAAAGCGUGGGGAGCGAACAGGAUUAGAUACCCCUGUAGUCCCUGUCUCUUAUAC